UGUGGGAGCGAGCUUGCUCGCGAAGGGGCCCUUUCAGUGACCUCUCCGUUGACUGAUCGACCGCAUUCGCGAGCAAGCUCGCUCCCACA
rnacentral:antisense_RNA from 1 species